rnacentral:misc_RNA from 1 species
GAUGAAGAACGCAGCGAAAUGCGAUAAGUAAUGUGAAUUGCAGAAUUCAGUGAAUCAUCGAAUCUUUGAACGCACAUUGCGCCCGCUAGUAUUCUGGCGGGCAUGCCUGUCCGAGCGUCAUUUCAACCCUCAAGCCCCCGGGCUUGGUGUUGGGGAUCGGCGAGCCUCCGCGCCCGCCGUCCCCUAAAUCUAGUGGCGGUCUCGCUGUAGCUUCCUCUGCGUAGUAGCACACCUCGCACUGGGAAACAGCGCGGCCACGCCGUUAAACCCCCAACUUCUGAACGUUCGACCUCGGAUCAGGUAGGAAUACCCGCUGAACUUAAGCAUAUCAAUAAGCGGAGGA